AAUUAACAACUCCGAUGUAUAACUUCAGUAUUACUCAGAAAUAGCAUAUACUUAGUUCAAGUAUUUCAUACUCUAGCUGGUUAGUGUAUCUUCUUAUCUCAUUGGGCCAAUACCUGUUUGAUUCGAUAGUGAAGUUUUAGGAGCUCCCAUGCACGUUUACUUGUUUACCUGUUCAGGAUUGUGUAAGGACCGUCCGAGGGUGACUGUAGUUUAGGAGAAACUCCUUUCCUUCGAAUUGGAUUCCAUAACCACACUUUGUCAUUUUUGUUAAAUUGAUGUCCUGUAGCUCUCGUGUCGAACUGGGCCUUCAUCUUCUCCGUCACUUGCUGUCGAGCAAAAUUGAACAUGAUUUGAAACCGUGCCUGGAGAAUGGCACCUCAGGCGAUCCGAAGAGCAAUCAAACAAUAAAUCACGAAGGUGACGACAAAAGAGCGUCUGAGAUCGAAUAGCACUACGGUGGGCCAGUUAACGUGUGGUCCCAGUACUGUUGAUUUCUGGAAAGAAUUAGCGAGUGGUUACUAAAGGUAAUUCGGUCAAACCUCUUUACCAUGGCUGUGGGUGUAAAGGAUUCCUUUGGGUUUUGUCUAUGCCGAGUAAAUUAUAAAGGUCUUUUAUUAUAGUUGAGAUAAAAUUUCUUCCUUCAGAGUUCAUACAUCAAGGAACAAAAAUGGAAUUUGUCGCUCGUUCCUUUGUAAUCUGGAUAAUUCAUUGGUUGGAUAAGAGUUCUUAUGGUGGUCGGCAGAAACGCAACACAGAUGUUUUCCAUGUUUCUUAGCCCAUUCUUUUAUAUAUUAGUAGCCAGCUUAUUUUCUUCUUAUCCCAUUUCAUAUAUUUUUAUCUCACAGGCCUAAAUUUCGGAUUUAAAUUUAGAUCUUCGAAAGUACCUUUAUUUUGAUAUUGGCAGUUAUGAGGGAUUUUAUAGUACUUGAUUUAAAAUCACCAUGUUUCCCAAUUGAUCAAUCUCAAAACAUUACAUUUUUAGUCGUAUUUAUAGGAACCGACAGAGAAAUCUUUAUUUAAUAUCUGGUAUGGUGACUUCGGACAGAAUACGGGAUCUUCACACAGUUUAGUGAAUUGCUUUGGAAUUUCACGCCAGUCUUUAGAAUGUGCAUUAUUUAGAUCCUGACAGAUAUCAGGCUCGGUGCAGUUUUCUUAUCCAAUGCAUGCUUAGUAGGACUGAAGUGUGUUGAAUAGACUGUUCAGUCCACUUCUGUUUCCGAAAAUUCUGAGAACAGCGUUAUUAGUCAUUACCAAAACGUCUGGGCCAAUAGCAUCCCUAAACAGCCUUACAUACGAUUCCAAGACGUCGUUCAUAUAUUUGAUGUAUGAAUAUGUUUGAUGAUUCCACUGCAAACCAUGCAACUGCUUCCCUGGAUUUGUAUGAACAAGGUAAGGCAAGUUUCGUGUUCCUGGUUCUUUCCAGUUGCCUAGAGCUGCAAUUCAGGUUUUUACCUGGAGUCGUUAAUAAACAGUGCAAGCUCCCAUUCCUCUUGGCUGUACAGAGUAUGAUGAGGGUACCUAUAGAAGCUAUAGAAGAUAUACCUAUAUAGCUAUAGAAGAUGGAGGGAGUGAGACGCAAACUAUCCGUGUUUCAAGCAUAACGUCAAACUUCAUGCAGCGAUAGAACAGAUGAUUGGAAUUUUCGGUGUCACCAAAUCUUUUUCAAUCGCUUCGACAACGAAAGCAAAUGUUCUUCGGAUUAAAUUGUUAACACUGCAGAUCUUUGAUGACGCUGUCUAUUAAUUGAAUGAUUGCGGUUUGAAGUGACUGAAAUGUAUAUUGAGAUUUUGCGCCACCUCUAUGUGCGUACGAAUGAAGUGCGAGUUUUGUCUUUUAUUUGACAGCUUAUGAUAAAUAAUAAUCCUCAAAAUCUAAAUUUAAACAUUCAGAUUUCAGUAUUAGUGCCUUGCGGAACAUGUUAGCUGCGUACGUUUGAGCGUUAAAGUACUGAGGGGAAGAAGGUCCGGUUUUAAUUUAGUUUCCACAUAAUCUAGAUAUUCGUUUAUAAACUUAACCACUAAGAACAAUUUUCUUUUUCAGAUUGCUGAAGAGUGGAAGAAAAAAAAAACUUACUUUACAUGCAGAGCUCUUGAAGCGAGAACCUCCUUUGGGUAGGGUAGAUUUCAUCUGUAUAGAAGAGGGUAUGUUCGUUCCUUUAUAGGACGUAUUGUUGUUCAAAGUGAUGAUGGAAGCUGGAGAAAAAAUAAGAAUUGUACACGCCACGUAGGGAAAGUAUGAAAGAUAAGGAAAGGGUACAAGAAGUGGUUUAAGCUGAAGUACCUAAGAGAAUUAAUUCCUUCCGGGGCCCCAGAGACAGGCUGGCAAGAGACUUCGCUUCUACAGAGAGAUCUCAAGUUCUAUCCUCGGUUCGACGAAAGAGAAAGCUGAGAAAAGAAAAGGGGCCCCCUAACUAGAAGAACGAAGAUAGGAAAUGGAAGGAGAGAAGAAAAUAUCCGGGUGGCACAUGAAAUAGCCCCGAAAAAGAGAAAAGAAGGAGAUUAAUUUGGGAAGAAAACGGUGCCACCCGGGAAGGGGCUUUUGUAAAAUUUUUCCCAUCUCCAGAAAUGCAUUUCGUAAACUUUAGAUUUUGUUUUGAAGUUUAUUUCUAGUACAAAUGUUGUUAUAGUCAUCUGGUGUGUACAAGUAAAAAUAAAUUUCUUUUACGGUUUU